UGUUUGUGUUGAAUGGUUUGAAGUGUUGCAGGUAUCUUGUGAUCUCUAAUAAAGUUGUGAUAUUAUUUCAGUGCUGUUUCUAUAGAGGCCCAGCUCGCUUUUGCUAUAUGCCUUAGCCUAAAUAAUUUCAGUUCUAUUUCAAUUAAAAUAUUUUAAGUACUUUCCAAUAAGGCCUAGCUCCCUAUGGCUAUAUGCCAUAGCCUAAAUAAUUUCAGUUAUAUUUCAAUUAAAACAUUUUAAGUACUUUCCAUAAAGGACAGCUCGCUAUGGCUAUAUGCCUUAGCCUAAAUAAUUUCGGUUAUAUUUCAAUUAAAACAUUCUAAGUACUUUCCAUAAAGGACAGCUUGCUAUGGCUAUAUGCCUUAGCCUAAAUAAUUGCAGUUAUAUUUCAAUUAAAACAUUUUAAGUACUGUUUCCAUAAAGGACAGCUUGCUAUUGGCUAUAUGCCUUGGCCUGAAAAAUUUCAAUAUUAAAUUUAGCAUUUAACUAUAUUGCUUAAGCUUUUGAAAUAGACAUCGCAGUUUAUUGAUAUUCAAAUUUAUUAAGAUUUACUGCCUAUGUGACAUGUUUUAGUUAUGAUGAAAGGCAAGUAUAAAUUGCCAUUGGAGUAAAAGUGUAUUUAUGUUUUAUAAAACUGUGCAGUAGUUUUACACAACUAUAUACAGUGUUACUAAACUGCAUGCUAAAAGUUUCUGUUGACUGUUACUCUGUUAGAAUGGUGGCUUGUAAUUUGGGGUAUCUGGCUAGGAUUUGACAUUUAAAUAUUUACAAGUGCAUUAGGUCUCUUAGGUUUAGUUUAAGACCAACAUGAGCGAGUGAGAUAAACUCGACUAGCUUAUGUAGGUUAAGGCAUCAAGCGUGAAUUCCGUGGAAUGCGUGCGUGCACUAGACCCCUCAGGAUCGGAUCCCAAACCUUUUUUCAAUACCAAAUGUGAAAUUACCCCACCUUACCACAUCGUCGAAGAAUUAUGGUGGAUAUCUUGGGCAAAUGUGCAAUACUAUGAGGGAUAUCUUGGGCAAAUGUGCAUUUUCUGGGUGGAUAUCUUGGGCAAAUGUGCAAUACUAUCAGGGAUAUCUUGGGCAAAUGUCAAUAUGAUGAGGGAUAUCUUCGCAAAUAUCUUGGGUAAAUUUAUCUUAAAUUGCUAAAGAACAAUGUUGUAAGGUUAGUAGAUAUUUAUAUUAGCGAUAGAAUGGGGGUUCCUUGCGCAUAGGAACGAACGAAGUAAAGUG